rnacentral:tRNA from 1 species
CAGGAGAUAGUUUAAGUUAAAAUUCUAAUUUUGGGGAUUAGUGAUGAUUAUGUCUUUCUUGA